UGGGGAAUCUUGCACAAUGCGCGAAAGCGUGAUGCAGCAAUGCCGCGUGUGGGAAGAAGGGCUUCGGCUCGUAAACCACUUUCAGUUGGGACGAAGCUGUCGACGUUAAUAGCGUCGUGCAGUGACGGUACCUUCACAAGAAGCCCCGGCUAACUACGUGCCAGCAGCCGCGGUAAUACGUAGGGGGCAAGCGUUGUCCGGAAUCAUUGGGCGUAAAGAGCGUGUAGGCGGUUCGAUAAGUCUGCUGUGAAAGUCCAAGGCUCAACCUUGGGAUGCCGGUGGAUACUGUCGAACUCGAGUCCGGAAGAGGAGUGUGGAAUUCCUGGUGUAGCGGUGAAAUGCGCAGAUAUCAGGAGGAACACCGAUGGCGAAGGCAGCACUCUGGGACGUGACUGACGCUGAGACGCGAAAGCGUGGGGAGCAAACAG
rnacentral:rRNA from 1 species